CCCCGCCGGUCGAAGAAGAAGAUGAUGAAAUGGCAGAGCCUCUGGGAUGGAAGGCGCCAAGGAAAAGAAACAGGAAGAACCAGAAGAAAAAUGCUACUGGUGGAAGUUAUGUAGAGCACAUGGCCCCAAAUUAAAGCAUUCCCUAUUUCCUUAACUAAGUCUUCGAAUUCUGUAGAUCUAUUAAAUUUGUGAAAUUCACUUCUACCGUGAUUCACUGCCUC